rnacentral:rRNA from 1 species
GAGGAAUAUUGGUCAAUGGGCGGAAGCCUGAACCAGCCAAGUCGCGUGAGGGAAUAAGGCCCUACGGGUCGUAAACCUCUUUUGCCGGGGAGCAAGGGCGGGGACGUGUCCCGGCCCGGAGAGUACCCGGAGAAAAAGCAUCGGCUAACUCC